UUUACAGACUUAACUUUUCUUUAUUCUAGCUGCAGAGAUCCCAAGGACCAGACUGACUGUGGGAACAACCUAGCCAUGAAGGUGUUCUUCUUCCAGUUUGUCAAAUACUACUCCUCGUGUUUCUACAUCACAUUCUUUAAUGGCAGAUUUGUGACUUAUCCUGGAGAUCUGGUGUAUUGGCUGUGAAAAUACAGAAAUGAAGACGUGUGAAUACAGCUUUGUGUUCGGACAGUCUAACCUGUUUCAUGUUUUCUCUUAGUUGCCCAAUGAAGAGUGUCUUUACUCUCUGUUCCUUAGAUUUUUUUAGGCAUAAAAUAAUGACUUUAUUUCAUGUUAGAGCUAUCUAAAAUUUAAAUGAGAUUUUCUUUCUAAUAUUCCAGUGUGACCCAGGUGGCUGUCUCCUUGAACUGAUGAUGCAGCUGACAAUAAUCAUGGGAGGACAGUCCAUCUGGAAUAACAUACAAGAGGUGUUACUUCCGUGUUUCUCAUGUGCAAAUUGGUAUCCCUGCAUGAGAACCAUAAACCAACAGAAAACCCAAAAGACCGAGGACAAUGAUGGGUUGCCGACAGCCCAAGCUUUUCUGCCACAGAAGAGUGGUUCCAGUCAGGAAGACUGAGCAAGAGGCUCAGAGUCUUAGCUAAGGACAAGCAAGUCGGGACUUCUAAUACGACCUAAUGUCAUCGACGGGGUAGGGCAGUUCAGCACAAGAAGCGAGCACCAGCUGGGUCAUGAAUCUAAUGAUGCCACAGUUUCGGGAGCAGAACAGACCACCCCACGAUGGGAAUGGGACAACCAUCUGUAUCCAACGGGCAAACUGGGGUUAUUUUAUGAAUACCCUGAAAUGAGUAAGUCAUCAGUGGGGAUUUCUGUGCUGUCGGUUAUACUAGAAUAUGCUUUGGGUCUCAGAAGCAUCGGUUACCGAGCCAAACAAAGACC